AGACUCAUCACUAACUACCACCGCUCCGUUAGCCAGCCAGGUCCUCCUGUACAUGGUGAAACGUCUUCUUCAACAAGAUUACUUCACCUAUUCCAACCACAAAUGGCCCCUCCUCCCCCACUCUCUACAACAAUGUGACAGGUGUUACUGUCUUAUUUAAUGGCCUCUCUACAACUGUGCAGGAGCGACCUAGGAUGUCUGUUGCUUCUUCUAAGCUGGGAAAUGGAGGAAGAUAACAAUGUGCUGUUGGUGCCAAGAAGUAUCUCUCCACACAGAUGUCUAAGGCAAUUAUUUUAAAGGGGAAAUGACUCAUGUGAUUUUUGCUUUGAUUUCAGCCAUAUUACAUCAUGUAGUACCUGUGUAAAGGGACUGUAGUUUCUGAAAGCAGCCCAGUCCAUUCAAAUGAUAUCUGAAAUGGUAGUGUGCAACACCACACGCUGAUCCUGUCAUCUGCUCUCAAUGCUACUUUCCACAUUCCCACCCCCAUUCCUUGCGUGUUAUCUUAGCAGUUAACAGCCUCAACCAGCUUAACUGGUGGAUGAUUUGAUCACAAGGGUGCCAGGUGGAAGAGACCAUGCAUAGUGCAUACCUGAUUCAGCACACCCAAGUUUGCUGCAUAAAUGGUCUGCUCCAUUGAAAUAGUGACCAUAUAUCAACAUUCGAUGCCAUUAUUGUAAUUUCAUGCAGAUGGAAACACAAAUGCUAUAGGUGGGGGUCUUAUUGAAACAUUUCCGCUGUGUUAAACCUGAACUUAUCAGAUGCUACAUCAUGACAGUAACAGUACAGCCUAACAUUCUGUUCCAUACUGCCAUGGCCUCUGGCCCCUGAUAAAAUUGCAAAUCCUGUAGUAUAACUGGGCCGUGACGGCGCAAAAUCUGUAUGGAUGAUUCACAGGCUGGGGCAAAUGGAAAUAUCAGCUACGGUGCUGUAUGUGCUGUAACUUUUGUGCCCUGUAGUUGAAUACUUAAUAGGAGUCUAUCCGGCUCCCAUCUCUCAAUCUCCUCCCUCAUCGCUUUCCCAGCACAACAAUGUGCCAUAUUUCUCUCCCUCAAUCCCAUGAUACCAGCCUCUUAUUGGUUUUACUGUAUACACAGCGGCAUAGGUAGCAGCUACUCUAACUGAAUGUUAACAAGAAUGGCGAUGGGGCGACUUGUGUGGCUUUAUCCUCCUAGGGCCUCCCAUUCUCCAUUCCUCUUACUCUAUCACUCUCUCCCCUUCUCUCCACCCUCUAAGUUCAGAGUUUUCGCUCUCUACUUUCUUUCUUACGUCUGUCUGUCCCUCUUUCGCUCUUCUCUCUCCUUGUCCCCACUUUCCACACUCUUUUUUUUUCACUCACUCAUCUGUCAUACAUUCACCUCUCUCUCUCUCUCUCUCUCUCCAUCCCCCAUCCCUGCAGAGAUGCUGUACUGUAGCUAGCUAUAUUGUUAUGGGUCGCACUAAUACUCUUAUCUUCCCUCCCUCUCUGCAUUAGUUUAUUGAAUCUUCCAGGGCAGUUUAGAAAGCAUGGUGUGGGGUGGUCCGUUAUUCCUUUGCAUUGAUUUCUAUGUGAGUCGGUGUAGUGAGAAGCUAAUAGUCCCUGACAAAUCACAGCUCCCAUUCUCUCGCUCUCUACAAGGCCUUUUCAACAGCCGCCAAUGGAACCACAGUCCUCUUGGAGGUGCAGAAUUGGUGUCAAAGCCUAACAAAGGCAGUUGUAAAAUGAAGGAAAAAAACUGACUGCUAAGAAAAAGAAAGAAAUAUUCUGGAGUCUGCAUAUAAAUAUUCCAUUAACUUUACCCGGGUCUAUAACAGUGUGUUUAUGCGUUCAGUGCCCUGAAUUUGAAAUUAAAUUAUUGCAAGGGGGAGAAAAAAAGUAGCCGUUUCCUUCUUCCAAUUUUUCCCUCUUCCUUUUUUUGCCCUUCUCCUUAUCAAGGGUGACACUAAUCCAAUUUCGGCUUGGCUUGUGACAGCUCUACCAUGGUUUUGUAUACUGAUUCCUCCUCCCUGUUCAUUCUGUUCACACACACACACACACACACACACACAGCAUUGUUAGCAUUACGAUUUCCCCAUCGCCCUAUCUGAAUGACUGAAUUAAUAAAUUACAUUUUAUUUUCAUUUAUAUAUAGUAUACAGUACCAGUCAAAAGUUUUGACAUACCUACUCAUUCCAGGGUUUUUCUUUAUUUUUUAUUAUAAUCUACAUUGUAGAAUAAUAGUGAAGACAUCAAAACUAUGAAAUAACACAUAUGGAAUCAUAUAGUAACCAUGAAAAGUGUUUGAGAUUCGAUGAAAUAACACAUGGAGUCAUGUAGUAAGCAAAAAA
rnacentral:lncRNA from 1 species